GACGAACGCUGGCGGCGUGCUUAACACAUGCAAGUCGAACGGAAAGGCCCUGCUUUUGUGGGGUGCUCGAGUGGCGAACGGGUGAGUAACACGUGAGUAACCUGCCCUUGACUUUGGGAUAACUUCAGGAAACUGGGGCUAAUACCGGAUAGGAGCUCCUGCGGCAUGGUGGGGGUUGGAAAGUUUCGGCGGUUGGAGAUGGACUCGCGGCUUAUCAGCUUGUUGGUGGGGUAGUGGCUUACCAAGGCUUUGACGGGUAGCCGGCCUGAGAGGGUGGCCGGCCACAUUGGGACUGAGAUACGGCGCAGACUCCUACGGGAGGCAGCGGUGGGAAAUAUUGCACAAUGGGCGGAAGCCUGACACAGCGACGCCGCGUGCGGGAUGACGGCCUUCGGGUUGUAAACCGCUUUCGCCUGUGACGAAGCGUGAGUGACGGUAAUGGGUAAAGAAGCACCGGCUAACUACGUG
rnacentral:rRNA from 1 species